UCCUACGGGAGGCAGCAGUGAGGAAUAUUGGUCAAUGGCCGAGAGGCUGAACCAGCCAAGUCGCGUGAGGGAUGACGGCCCUACGGGUUGUAAACCUCCUUUGUCGGGGAGCAAGACCCGCCUCGUGCAGGCGGAGCGAGAGUACCCGAAGAAAAAGCAUCGGCUAACUCCGUGCCAGCAGCCGCGGUAAUACGGAGGAUUCGAGCGUUAUUCGGAUUUAUUUGGUUUAAAGGGUGCGCAGGCGGACCAUCAAGUCAUCGGUAAA
rnacentral:rRNA from 1 species